AUCCUCCAGAUUCCUUCCCCAUCAGACCUAAAACCUGGUCUGGGGGGCUAUAGAAGGAAGAAAAGUAAAACUGAAACGACUUAAAUUCUUUUGUGACACACAAGCCAGUUUCAAACAAAC